rnacentral:rRNA from 1 species
GCAUAUCAAUAAGCGGAGGAAAAGAAACCAACAGGGAUUGCCCCAGUAACGGCGAGUGAAGCGGCAACAGCUCAAAUUUGAAAUCUGGUCCCCAGGGCCCGAGUUGUAAUUUGUAGAGGAUGCUUUUGGCGAGGUGCCUUCCGAGUUCCCUGGAACGGGACGCCAUAGAGGGUGAGAGCCCCGUCUGGUUGGAUACCAAGCCUCUGUAAAGCUCCUUCGACGAGUCGAGUAGUUUGGGAAUGCUGCUCUAAAUGGGAGGUAUAUGUCUUCUAAAGCUAAAUACCGGCCAGAGACCGAUAGCGCACAAGUAGAGUGAUCGAAAGAUGAAAAGCACUUUGAAAAGAGGGUUAAAUAGUACGUGAAAUUGUUGAAAGGGAAGCGUUUGUGACCAGACUUGGGCCCGGUUAAUCAUCCAGCGUUCUCGCUGGUGCACUUUGCCGGCCCAGGCCAGCAUCAGUUCGCGCCGGGGGAUAAAGGCUUCGGGAAUGUGGCUCCUCCGGGAGUGUUAUAGCCCGCUGCGUAAUACCCUGGUGCGGACUGAGGUUCGCGCUCCGCAAGGAUGCUGGCGUAAUGGUCAUCAGCGACCCGUCUUGAAACACGGACCAAGGAGUCGUCUUCGUAUGCGAGUGUUCGGGUGUCAAACCCCUACGCGUAAUGAAAGUGAACGUAGGUGAGAGCUUCGGCGCAUCAUCGACCGAUCCUGAUGUUCUCGGAUGGAUUUGAGUAAGAGCAUACGGGGCCGGACCCGAAAGAAGGUGAACUAUGCCUGUAUAGGGUGAAGCCAGAGGAAACUCUGGUGGAGGCUCGCAGCGGUUCUGACGUGCAAAUCGAUCGUCAAAUAUGGGCAUGGGGGGCGAAAGACUAAUCGAACCUUCUAGUAGCUGGUUUCCGCCGAG